GAUCAUGGCUCAGGAUGAACGCUAGCUACAGGCUUAACACAUGCAAGUCGAGGGGCAGCGGGAUUGAAGCUUGCUUCAAUUGCCGGCGACCGGCGCACGGGUGAGUAACGCGUAUCCAACCUUCCGCUUACUCGGGGAUAGCCUUUCGAAAGAAAGAUUAAUACCCGAAGGUAUCUUAAGCACGCAUGAAAUUAAGAUUAAAGAUUUAUCGGUAAGCGAUGGGGAUGCGUUCCAUUAGGCAGUUGGCGGGG
rnacentral:rRNA from 1 species